GCAGGCUCACUCUGCGCCUGGCCGCGCUCCUCGGCCUUGGUGCUUUUUCCGCCUGCCAGAGAAACUCCCCGGGCCACUGCCGGCACCUCUGGU